UCCCGAGGCAGCGCGAAAAGCUUUCCUGAGAGACUGAGCAGGAUGCUGGGUGGUGAAAGGUGUGCGUUGCCCCGGCGUUUAGGGAGGCGGAGGAAGCGGAGGAGGAGGUCAGGUAGUUGAGAAAAGGGAACCCGGGGCCCCAGUUUCGGGGAGGUUAACCGGUAUCAAACCGGGACCGCGUAGUCAGGCAACCUCGCGUUGCAGUAUGGCCCCGCCACUAAUGCUGUGUGACUUUGGACGUGUUACUUAAACACUCUGAACUGAAUGUUUUGCGUAAAAUGGGAUUAGUAAAACCUAUGGUUGUUGUGAGGAUUGGAAGAGAAGGUGGAAAACGCCUCACCUGGCACAUGGUAAACCCUAAGUGCUUAGUUAUUAGUGUGGAGCCCGCAGCCUCCUUACUUUAUAAAUGGGGACACAGGACGCAGAGAGGUUUAAAAGAUUAAAUGACCUGUUCGGUGUCGGGUAGCGGCAGAGACCCAGACUUCAAGUUCAGUGCUCUUUGUUCUACGUGCCCUUUUCUUAGGAAGAAGGAAAAAAAUCGAGGAAAGCCAUAAAGAGCAUCCACUGCUAUCUAUGAAUCUUAGUCCUUACCCACCCGACUCCCAUCCCCGCAGAAGUUUAGUUGAGAACUUUGGAUAUAAGGGCUGAACAGCCUUGGUGCUGCUUUCGGAGGGUAGUUAUUUGGCUUCUCUGUUUGCACCUGAGCAAGGCACGGAAUAAGCUUUCUAAGUUCCUCUGGGGCGCCUAGGUUUCUUCUAAAGUUUUGGAUGAAGUUAAAACUCUGUGACAAGAACCUCCAGGUCCUCUACAGUUUCUAGCUACUGAGGAAAGAUGGAAGUGGACACUUGACCCAGCGUCCACCACGUAGGCAACAGUGCGUUUCCAGAAGGAGGAGCCUGUGACCUCAAGGCCGUGCGGGUACCUUAGGAUUCACACACACAGGAAUGCAUUCAGUUGACCCUUCCAAGUUCCAGCUAACACGUAGUCCCUUCCAAAAAGCCUUGCUGGAUCUACUCAGUUGCAUUGAAAUAGUCCCUUUUCCAGAGCAUUGGAGUUCAAGAAACCGUGCCUCGGAGAAUUUCACCGGUUUUCCUGAGGUCUUCAUGUCACUAAAUGCCCAAACCAAGAUUCAGGUUAACUCCGUCAAAGCCCAGGAUCCUUCUAGUACAUAAUUCUGAAUCACAGGAAUUGUACAUCUGUGUGUAGGAUGUGCCUGAAUCAGCCAACUGCUGUUGCAUAAUGUGCAACCACAAAGAUGUUAGAGAUGGGCAUCUGUUUCACUCCUGUGUCUGCCUCAGCUGGGGGCCCGCUGAUCUAGGCGAGCAGGACUGGGAGCCUCUGAGCUGCGGGCUGGGCUGGGGUCUGCUGCAUGAGUCUCUCAUUCUACGUGGACCCAUGAAGUUGUCUAGCACCGUCUUCUCGUGCUGAAGGCAGAGCGUGCCCAACUGAGCAAGUGCAUCUCAGUCUCCGCUUGCAGUGGGUCUGCUUCUGUUCCAUGGCCAAAGGAAGCCAUGUGACGAAGACCAGGGAAAAGCCGACGACUCAUCCAGGGAGGGAGUAAAUACGAUUGACCAUCGGGCAGAUGGAUUGGAGUGGCAAGAGCACUAGACCGAGUUCUGUGGCCCUAGUUCUGGUCCCAGAUCUGCCAUUAAUGACUUGUGUGACCUCGGGCACAUUGCUAAUCCUUUCUGAAUUUUUAAGGUCUUAUUUAGGUUUUGACUUAAGAAGCUAUGGCUUGGGCCAGCCUUGCUCAGUUGGUUAAGAGCUCGCUCAAGAGUGCGAGCUCUGAGCAACAGCGGUUCGAGUCCCGCCCGA